rnacentral:rRNA from 1 species
AUACGGAAGGCAGCAGUGGGGAAUUUUGGACAAUGGGGGCAACCCUGAUCCAGCCAUUCCGCGUGAGUGAAGAAGGCCUUCGGGUUGUAAAGCUCUUUUGUCGGGGACGAAACGGUUUCACCUAAUACGUGAGACUACUGACGGUACCCGAAGAAUAAGCACCGGCUAACUACGUGCCAGCAGCCGCGGUAAUACGUAGGGUGCGAGCGUUAAUCGGAAUUACUGGGCGUAAAGCGUGCGCAGGCGGUUUUAUAAGCCAGUUGUGAAAGCCCCGGGCUCAACCUGGGAAUGGCAUUUGGGACUGUGAAGCUGGAGUAUGGCGGAGGAGACUAGAAUUCCUGGUGUAGCAGUGAAAUGCGUAGAUAUCAGGAGGAAUACCGAUGGCGAAGGCAGGUCUCUGGGCCAAUACUGACGCUCAUGCACGAAAGCGUGGGGAGCAAACAGGAUUAGAAACCCUGGUAGUCC